AGAGGAAGGAAGAGGGAGAGAGAGAUAGAAACAUCAUUAUGAAGAGAAACAUUGAUCAGUUGCUUCCUACACGCGCCCCAACCAGGCAUCAAACUGGCAACUCAGUCAUAAGCCCUGACCAGGAAUCGAACCUGCAACCUUCCUGG